rnacentral:ncRNA from 1 species
UUAUGGUUGCAUAUGCAAUAACAGGGAAUGAGGUUAGAAUCCUCAACAGCCCCCGCUACUGUAAUAGCUACGAAACUCUAUUAAAGUCAUUAAGAUUAGUUCUUGAGAAGACUAAGAGGAUUAGGCUGGAAGCUAUAAGUCAGGAGACCUACCAUAAAAUA